CAGUAGCCGCGGUAAUACGGAGGGGGCUAGCGUUGUUCGGAAUUACUGGGCGUAAAGCGCACGUAGGCGGCUUUGUAAGUUAGAGGUGAAAGCCUGGGGCUCAACUCCAGAAUUGCCUUUAAGACUGCAUCGCUUGAACGUCGGAGAGGUGAGUGGAAUUCCGAGUGUAGAGGUGAAAUUCGUAGAUAUUCGGAAGAACACCAGUGGCGAAGGCGGCUCACUGGACGACUGUUGACGCUGAGGUGCGAAAGCGUGGGGAGCAAACAGGAUUAGAUACCCCAGUAGUCCCUGUCUCUUAUAC
rnacentral:rRNA from 1 species